UUUCUCUCAGUAUUCUGUGGAGGAGGAGUCCGCAUACAUCAGCGCACCGAUCAUCCUAACCCCCCCUUCCCUCCAGCAGCCAGAGGUCCUGCCGCGGAUCAGAUUGGCAGCAGCAUCAUCAGCGCUGCCACUGCCAUUCAUGCCACAAGACGUAUUCCUCUAACGGUAUCGUAGUAGUCAAGGCGCAUACCCUUCUCCUUUCUCGUUGUUCUACGACUUGCUUCAAGUGCCGGCUAAGCACCUCUGCCCGUCCUUCCGCGUUCACUUUUCCUCCCCCUUCUCUCUCUCGACCUCAGCUCAGACAGGCGUGAACGCAUCCACACUAUCCGUCAUUUCUUCACGCGCGCGCUCUCUCUCUGUGUAUCUCUCGUUGGCCCGACUUUUCUCGCGUGAGCUGGAUCUACGACCUCAGAGCCGCUCCCAUACGCUCCCCUCGACCCUUUUCUUGCCCAUCGAAAGACUUUCUCUUUCACAGUUUGUGCCCUCCUCCUCUCUUUGCACCGCGCUCAUCCUACCAAGAUGCCGUCCUUCCAGAUGCACCCCGGCUUUGCGGGGCAGAGCAUCCGCACCAAUCCGUGGAAACCGACGCAGCUCAUCAUCUCCACUUCUCAGAACUUCGGCAUUGUCGGCUCUGGUAAGGUGUACGUCGUUGAGACAGCCCCUGGUUUUCAGGCCGGCUCCCCAGUCUCUCUUGUAGGUUGCUGGGGAACCCCCGACGGCGUCUUCGACGCGUGCUUUAGCGAGGCUGAUCAGAACAUCGUAGUGACCGCCUGCGGUGAUGGCGUGAAGGUGUACAACUUAGCGAUGAGCCUCAACCGGGAUGGCGUGAUACCGCUUGUGCACAACGCCGAGCACCAGGCAGAAGUGUCGUGCGUCGCGUGGAACUCAGGCCGCCGGGACACCUUCUACUCAGCCAGCUGGGACACCACCAUCAAGAUGUACAGCGCGGUGAAGCCGGAGGUGUCGAUGGUUACAAUGCAAGAGCACUUCAAGGAAGUGUACGAGGUGGCCACGACGGGCCACAGUCCGUCUUCGAUCCUGUCCUGCUCCGGCGACGGCUCGUGGAAGCUGUGGGACAACCGAUCCCCGCAGCGAUCCGUGCUGACGCAGAUGGCACAUCAGAAUCAAAUCGUGCUCUCCAUCGACUUCUGCAAGAGUGAUCCCAACAUCUUCGCCAGCGGCGGUGUCGACCGCACCGUCCGCGUCUGGGAUGCUCGCCGGCCCAACCAGCCACUGGCCUCCUUUCCCGGCCACGACCAAGCAUGCCGCCGUGUUCGGUUCUCGACUUCCAGCCCGUCCAUGCUCGCCUCCAGCGGCUACGACAUGCGCGUGUGCGUGUGGGACCUCUCGAAGCCGCAGCAGCCCUUGACGGCCCGCUAUCAGCACCACCGGGAGUUUGUCGUCGGUCUCGAGUGGUCGCAGGCCGCGCCAAACGCUCUCGCCUCCGCCUCGUACGAUGGAUCCGCUUUCUUCUGGUCUGUGGGCCAGGCAGCGACGCCGUCACUGCCGACACAGCAGCUGCCACCGGCCGUGCCGCCGCCGCGCGUGCCUCGGCCGCGCACAAAGGUGUUGGCUGGCUUGCCACAGCCCAGUAUGCCGAUGCCAAUGACGAUGACGUCUCUGCCGCGUUCUCCUCGGUAAUCCACGCGAAGCUGGAAACCGCAAGCGUGCGUGCUGCUCUUCCCUUGCAGCUUCGCAUGAUCUCAAGCAUUGACGCACGUGUCAACAUGCCAUUAUGUGCCCUCAGGAGAGGUACAGUGUCGUAGCUGCCAGCCGCCGUCCUCUCUCUCUCCUCACCUUCGCGAGAGGAGAGCUUCAUCUGCGACAAGUAGAGCAGCCCACCUUGCCUCCUCUUUUAUCUCUCAUGGGUGUAUGCGUGCGCUGUUCUUCGCCUGUGCACGUACACGCACGCAGCGACUCGUUUCCGAAAGGCUCUCCCUCUCCCUCCCCCUCCGUCUCUCUCUCUCUGUGCUUUGCCGACUGUGUUUCUGCGUGGGCGCGUGUGUGUUUGCGCGCGCAACACCAGCCGCUGUCUCGCCCUCAUUCUCUGUUGAAGAAGCGGUCGGCAAUGCCACACCGUUUUCCCUCG
rnacentral:misc_RNA from 1 species